CCUACGGGGGGCAGCAGUAGGGAAUAUUGCGCAAUGGGCGAAAGCCUGACGCAGCGACGCCGCGUGGAGGAUGAAGGCCUUCGGGUUGUAAACUCCUUUUCUCUGGGACGAAUUUCUGACGGUACCAGAGGAAUAAGAGGUUGCUGACUCUGUGCCAGCAGCAGCGGUAAUACAGAGACCUCAAGCGUUAUCCGGAAUCACUGGGCGUAAAGCGUUCCGACAGGCGGCUCAAAAAGUUCGGGGUAAAAUCCAGAGGCUUAACUUCUGGAACACCUUGAAUACUUUUGAGCUAGAGGGGCAAAGAGGUGCUUGGAACGUACGGUGUAGCAGUGAAAUGCGUUGAUAUCGUACGGAACACCGAUAGCGAAGGCAGAGCACUGGGUGCCACCUGACGCUGCUAGGACGAAAGCGUGGGGAGUGAAUGGGAUUAGAUACCCCAGUAGUC
rnacentral:rRNA from 1 species